GAUACAACUCAUCCUGAGUCAAGGUUGAUGCCAAUUUUAAAAGGAACUCCUUGUACAAUGGCUUCAAGUCGUUGAAUGACAUUCCCUCCGGAUCUGCGGGAAAAAAUACAUUUUCAAAAAUCAGCAAAAGAUUUUUGAGGCACUUGUGAAUUUAAUAACACGUCAAUGAACCGGUUUUCAAGGAACCAGGAAAAUAUACACAAGUGUCAUUGGAAGACAAUCAGAAAUAGCGGUAUUCGAAAUUGGGAACCAAAUGAAAGUUAUAAUUGGGGAAAGAAAGAAACCGGAUUUUAGCAAAAAUAUCAACAUGCAAGAGGAUUGUUUUUAUCAACAAAAAGUGAGUCGUUUCUUUCGUCUUGGGACUUUUUCGACAAUGAGGGAUUUCUUCGUCUCAUCCUCGGUAGCACUUGAGAUGGAACUCUUCUUCGCCCUUGGCGGCCUAACCGGAUGUGGAGCCAUAGGUCGUGGUG